GACGAACGCUGGCGGCGUGCUUAACACAUGCAAGUCGAACGGAAAGGCCUUUUCGGAGGUACUCGAGUGGCGAACGGGGGAGUAACACGAGGGUGAUCUGCCCUGCACUCUGGGAUAAGCCUGGGAAACUGGGUCUAAUACCGGAUAGGACCGCACUUUAGAGUGUGUGGUGGAAAGAUUUUUCGGUGUAGGAUGAGCCCGCGGCCUAUCGGCUUGUUGGUGGGGUAAUGGCCUACCAAGGCGGCGACGGGUAGCCGGACGGAGGGGUUGGGCGGCCACAGUGGGACUGAGGGACGGCCCAGACUCCUACGGGAGGCAGCAGUGGGGAAUCUUGCACAAGGGGCGCAAGCCUGAUGCAGCGACGCCGCGUGGGGUAUGACGGCCUUCGUGUUGAAAACUCCUUUCGCCAGGGACGAAGCGUUUUGUGACGGUACCUGGAGAAGAAGCACCGGCUAACUACGUG
rnacentral:rRNA from 1 species